rnacentral:lncRNA from 1 species
AGAGUUUGGAACAAGAGGAGGGGAAUGAGGUGGGUGGAGAUAAUGGCCAUAUUUGUAAUGGUAGUUUCUAGAGAUGAUCCAUUAUUUUUAAUGAUGGUUACAAUAGGGUGGGUUGAUUUAGUAAAUAGGUGGGCUAUUUUAACAUUUUUCUAUAUUUAAUAACCUAUGUUAAAAGAAUACAUCUUUAUUUUUAGAAAGUAAACCACCAAUAAAAAAAGAUUGUAUUACAAUUAAUCUCAACAAAAAUAAGAAGAAGCCAACAAUUGCCAUAGAAAAGUGUAACAAAGAAGCUUCGUACUCUCCAAACCCUAAACUUCUCUCUCCAAAGUCAUGAACAAGGACAACACGCACACUAAAAAAUUACAAACAUCUUCUGGAACAGCCAAAGUUCUCAACGAAGUUACUUUUUAUGAAAAAAAUUCAAUAGAAUUACUUGUCCAAUGCCCCCCCCCCCCCCUCCUUUUUUAAAAAAAAAAAU